GACGAACGCUGGCGGCGUGCCUAACACAUGCAAGUCGAGCGAAUGAAGUUCCUUCGGGAAUGGAUUUAGCGGCGGACGGGUGAGUAACACGUGGGCAACCUGCCUCAUAGAGAGGAAUAGCCUUCCGAAAGGGAGAUUAAUACCGCAUAAGAUUGUAGUACCGCAUGAUACAGCAAUUAAAGGAGCAGUCCGCUAUGAGAUGGGCCCGCGGCGCAUUAGCUAGUUGGUGAGGUAACGGCUCACCAAGGCGACGAUGCGUAGCCGACCUGAGAGGGUGAUCGGCCACAUUGGGACUGAGACACGGCCCAGACUCCUACGGGAGGCAGCAGUGGGGAAUAUUGCACAAUGGGGGAAACCCUGAUGCAGCAACGCCGCGUGAGUGAUGACGGCCUUCGGGUUGUAAAGCUCUGUCUUCAGGGACGAUAAUGACGGUACCUGGGGAGGAAGCCACGGCUAACUACGUGCCAGCCGCCGCAGUAA
rnacentral:rRNA from 1 species